CCUAAGCCGAGGCCGAAAGGCGUAGGCGAUGGAUAACAGGUUGAUAUUCCUGUACCACCUCCUCACCAUUUGAGCAAUGGGGGGACGCAGGAGGAUAGGGUAAGCGCGGUAUUGGAUAUCCGCGGCCAAGCAGUUAGGCUGGGAAAUAGGCAAAUCCGUUUCCCGUGAAGGCUGAGCUGUGAUGGCGAGCGAAUUAUAGUAGCGAAGUUCCUGAUUCCACACUGCCAAGAAAAGCCUCUAGCGAGGUGAGAGGUGCCCGUACCGCAAACCGACACAGGUAGGCGAGGAGAGAAUCCUAAGGU
rnacentral:rRNA from 1 species